GAAAAAGAAUGCAAGAACUGCUAAUUCAUGCCUCCGCACUUGAAAAUGCGGCUUUUUCA
rnacentral:tRNA from 1 species